AGCCACGAGCUACAGGCUGGGGGCCGGGGUGUCACCUUUACGGAAGCGCUGGUGACUCCCUCCACCGCGGAGGAGUUUGGAGGCCCCACGCGGCUGAUGUGGCUCGUGGCUCGCGCAGGACCGGCUGGGGAAACAGCGACCCGGGAAGUGAGCCCUGUGUGCAGGUUCAGCCCUCUUUCAUUCUCCCUCUGGGUCUCCAAGGAUCUUAACCUAGAGCUCAGACCAGACUGAGCUCUAGGCUUAUCAGCUGACUUCUCAGAGGUGCCCCAGGCAGCCAUGGACGUGGGUCUCUCCAGC